GAAGCGGCAAUAGCUCAAAUUUAAAAUCUGGCUCUGCUCUAGGGUCCGAGUUGUAAUUUGUAGAGGGUGCUUUGGCACUGAUGGCGGUCUAAGUUCCUUGGAACAGGACAUCACAGAGGGUGAGAAUCCCGUAUGUGGUCGCUGAUCUUUGCCGUGUAAAGCCCCUUCAACGAGUCGAGUUGUUUGGGAAUGCAGCUCUAAAUGGGAGGUAAAUUUCUUCUAAAGCUAAAUAUUGGCCAGAGACCGAUAGCGCACAAGUAGAGUGAUCGAAAGAUGAAAAGCACUUUGGAAAGAGAGUCAAAAAGCACGUGAAAUUGUUGAAAGGGAAGCGCUUGCCGCCAGACUUGCCUGCAGUUGCUCACCUAGGCGUUCAGCCUGGGGCACUCUUCUGCAGGCAGGCCAGCAUCAGUUUGGGCAGCCGGAUAAAGGUCUCUGACACGUUCCUACCUUUGUGUAGGCCAUAUAGGGGAGACGUCAUGCGGUUAGCCUGGACUGAGGUCCGCGCAUUGCUAGGAUGCUGGCGUAAUGGCUGCAAGCGGCCCGUCUUGAAACACGGACCAAGGAGUCUAACAUCUAUGCGAGUGUUUGGGUGUCAAGCCCGAGCGCGCAAUAAACGUGAACGGAGGUGGGAACCCUCUUUGGGGGUGCACCAUCGACCGAUCCUGAUGUCUUCGGAUGGAUUUGAGUAAGAGCAUAGCUGUUGGGACCCGAAAGAUGGUGAACUAUGCUUGAAUAGGGUGAAGCCAGAGGAAACUCUGGUGGAGGCUCGCAGCGGUUCUGACGUGCAAAUCGAUCGUCAAAUUUGGGCAUAGGGGCGAAAGACUAAUCGAACUAUCUAGUAG
rnacentral:rRNA from 1 species